rnacentral:lncRNA from 1 species
CCCCAAAUGUAAGUGUACCUCUAUCCAAAUACUUAGAGCACAAGUGUAACCUCUUAGUGAUAAAAGAUGUCUAUGCUAUGCCAUUCUUCCACUAUUUCCGGCCUAUUGACGGUGUUUUUAUGUGUGGAUUUUAUAGCUUAUCCACUGUAUACGAGAUCCCCCAAGCUUAACCUUUGCUCGUCCCAAGGAAAUAAUUAAACUUAGUCUCGGUGGAUCAGGAGUUGCUGCAAUGUCAAC